rnacentral:rRNA from 1 species
AUUGAACGCUGGCGGCAGGCCUAACACAUGCAAGUCGAACGGUAACAGGAAGAAGCUUGCUUCUUUGCUGACGAGUGGCGGACGGGUGAGUAAUGUCUGGGAAACUGCCUGAUGGAGGGGGAUAACUACUGGAAACGGUAGCUAAUACCGCAUAACGUCGCAAGACCAAAGAGGGGGACCUUCGGGCCUCUUGCCAUCGGAUGUGCCCAGAUGGGAUUAGCUAGUAGGUGGGGUAACGGCUCACCUAGGCGACGAUCCCUAGCUGGUCUGAGAGGAUGACCAGCCACACUGGAACUGAGACACGGUCCAGACUCCUACGGGAGGCAGCAGUGGGGAAUAUUGCACAAUGGGCGCAAGCCUGAUGCAGCCAUGCCGCGUGUAUGAAGAAGGCCUUCGGGUUGUAAAGUACUUUCAGCGGGGAGGAAGGGAGUAAAGUUAAUACCUUUGCUCAUUGACGUUACCCGCAGAAGAAGCACCGGCUAACUCCGUGCCAGCAGCCGCGGUAAUACGGAGGGUGCAAGCGUUAAUCGGAAUUACUGGGCGUAAAGCGCACGCAGGCGGGUUUGUUAAGUCAGAUGUGAAAUCCCCGGGCUCAACCUGGGAACUGCAUCUGAUACUGGCAAGCUUGAGUCUCGUAGAGGGGGGUAGAAUUCCAGGUGUAGCGGUGAAAUGCGUAGAGAUCUGGGAGGAAUACCGGUGGCGAAGGCGGCCCCCUGUACGAAAACUGACACUCAGUGCGAAAGCGUGGGGAGCAAACAGG